rnacentral:rRNA from 1 species
GAUGAACGCUGGCGGCGUGCUUAACACAUGCAAGUCGAACGGUGAACACGGAGCUUGCUCUGUGGGUUCAGUGGCGAACGGGUGAGUAACACGUGAGCAACCUGCCCCUGACUCUGGGAUAAGCGCUGGAAACGGCGGCUAAUACUGGAUAUGUGACGUGAUUGCAUGGUCUGCGUCUGGAAAGAACUUCGGUUGGGGAUGGGCUCGCGGCCUAUCAGCUUGUUGGUGAGGUAGUGGCUCACCAAGGCGUCGACGGGUAGCCGGCCUGAGAGGGUGACCGGCCACACUGGGACUGAGACACGGCCCAGACUCCUACGGGAGGCAGCAGUGGGGAAUAUUGCACAAUGGGCGCAAGCCUGAUGCAGCAACGCCGCGUGAGGGAUGACGGCCUUCGGGUUGUAAACCUCUUUUAGCAGGGAAGAAGCGAAAGUGACGGUACCUGCAGAAAAAGCGCCGGCUAACUACGUG